rnacentral:rRNA from 1 species
UGGAGAGUUUGAUCCUGCUCAGGGAUGAACGCUGCGCGUCCUAAUACAUGCAAAGUCGACGAAUGGAUUAAGGAGCUUGCUUCUUAUGAAUGUUAGCGGCGGACGGGUGAGUAACACGUGGGUAACCUGCCCAUAAGACUGGGAUAACUCCGGGGAAACCGGGGCUUAAACCGGAUAACAUUUUGAAUGCAUGGUUCGAAAUUGAAAGGCGGCUUCGCUGUCACUUAUGGAUGGACCCGCUCGCAUUAGCUAGUUUGGUUGAGUAACGGCUCGACCACGGCAACGAUGCGUAGCCGACCUGAGAGGUGAUCGGCCACACUGGACUGAGGACCACGGCCCAGACUCCUUACGGGAGGCAAGCAGUAGGGAAUCUUCCGCAAUGGACGAACAGUCUGACGGAGCAACGCCGCGUAGAGUGAUGAAGGCUUUCGGGUCGUAAAAACUCUGUUGUUAGGGAAGAACAAGUGCUAGUUGAAUAAGCUGGCCCACCUUGACGGUACCUAACCAGAAAGCCCACGGUAACUACGUGCAAGCAGCCGCGGUAUACGUAGGUGGCAAGCGUUAUCCGGAAUUAUUGGGCGUAAAGCGCGCGCAGGUGCGUUCUUAAGUCUGAUGUGAAAGCCACGGCUCCUCAAACCGUGGAGGGUCAUUGGAAACAUUGGGAGACGUGAGUGCAGAAGAGGGAAAGUGGCAAUUCCAUGUUUGUAGCGUGAAUGCGUAGAGAAAUGGGGAACACCAGUUGGCGAGGCGACUUUCUGGUCUGUAACUGACACUGAGGCCGAAAGCGUGGGCAGCAAAACAGGAUUAGAUACCCUGGUAGUCCACCCGUAAACGAUGAUGCUAUAGUGUUAGAGGUUUCCGCCCUUUAGUUGCUGAAAGUUAAACGCAUUAAGCACUCCGCCUGGGGAGUACGCGCCGCAAGGACUAAACUCAAAGGAAUUGACGGGGGCCCGCACAAGCUGUGGAGCAUGUGGUUUUAAUUCGAAGCAACGGCGGAAGAACCUACCAGGUCUUGACAUCCCUGAAAACCUAGGAUAGGGCCUUCUCCCUUUCGGAGCGAGUGACAGUGGCUUGCAUGGUUGUCUCAGCUCGUGUCGGUGAAGAUGUUUGGCGUUAAGUCCGCAACGAGCGCACCCAUUGAUCUUAGUUGCCUCAUUAAGUUGGGCACCUCUAAAGAUGGACUUGCGGUGACAAACCGGAGGAAGGUGGGGAUGACGUCUCAAAUCAUCAUCCCCUUAUGACCUGGGGCUACACACGGUGCUACAAUGGACGGUACAAAGAGCUGCAAGACCGCGAGGUGGAGGCUAAUUCUCAUUAAAACUCGUUCUCAAAAGUUCGGAUUGAGGCUGCAACUGCCUACAUGAAGCUGGAAUCGCUAGUAAUCGCGGAUCAGCAUGCCGCGGUGAAUACGUUCCCGGGCCUUGUACACCACCGCCCGUCACACCACGAAGAGUUUUGUAACACCCCGAGUCGGUGGGGUAACCUUUGGAUGCCAGCCGCCUAACGGUGGACAGCAUGAUUGGGUGAAAGUUCGUAACAAGGUAGCCGUAUCGGAAGGUGCAGCGGAUCACCUCCUUUCUA